rnacentral:lncRNA from 1 species
UCUCUAGAACCUUCCCCCUCGCCUUCAGCUCCAAUGAGUCUCACUCACCUUCUUCAGCCACCUCCUGGCCUGAAUCUAUGGUGAUUUCACCACCCCACCGGCCCUCUAAGGUUCCUACACACUUGUUUGUUGAGGUUUCAUGGUCUGAAUACAAAGCUUCAUCCAGACCUAGUUCGGUUCAAGUUUUAUGGUCAUCCCCGGCCUUGCUCCGACAAUCCAUGCCUAUUUCGAGCCUGGCCUAGACUCCUCCUGGUUUGAUCAAUAACGAUCCAAUUCUUUCACACCGUUUGGGUUCCUCUGAAACCCUAGCUUUUGUGGUUCUUCUAAUUUCUUU